AGCGAACGCUGGCGGCAGGCCUGACACAUGCAAGUCGAACGGACCCUUCGGGGUUAGUGGCGGACGGGUGAGUAACACGUGGGAACGUGCCUUUAGGUUCGGAAUAGCUCCUGGAAACGGGUGGUAAUGCCGAAUGUGCCCUUCGGGGGAAAGAUUUAUCGCCUUUAGAGCGGCCCGCGUCUGAUUAGCUAGUUGGUGAGGUAAUGGCUCACCAAGGCGACGAUCAGUAGCUGGUCUGAGAGGAUGACCAGCCACACUGGGACUGGGACACGGCCCAGACUCCUACGGGAGGCAGCAGUGGGGAAUCUUGCGCAAUGGGCGAAAGCCUGACGCAGCCAUGCCGCGUGAAUGAUGAAGGUCUUAGGAUUGUAAAAUUCUUUCACCGGGGACGAUAAUGACGGUACCCGGAGAAGAAGCCCCGGCUAACUUCGUGCCAGCAGCCGCGGUAA
rnacentral:rRNA from 1 species